GGGGAUUUAGCUCAGCGGCAUAAGCGCCUGCCUUGCAAGCAGGAAGUCGUGAGUUCAAUCCCUG
rfam:Cavia porcellus supercont2_65 genomic scaffold, whole genome shotgun sequence.